rnacentral:lncRNA from 1 species
UCACGAGAUGUUAUGUUUUGCGAGACUUAUUUUCCGUUUCAAACCACAAGACAUUCUUCUAAUCAUUUGAUACCCGUCUAUUCUCCUUUGUUGCCUUCGUCACCUCCGUUUGAUGAGUUUUUGACUUGGUUAAUGUGCCUCUGGUUGUGUUUGGUACUGAUCAACGAGAGGUGGUUCCUUCACUCAUAGAGAGUCCGACGACUCCUGUUUCUUUUUCUCCCGUGACUCCAUCUCGCUCGAUACCUUCAUCUUCCAUUUCUUGAACUGUUUCUCCAUCUUCCGCGUCACCAUUGGUUUUCUCACCCGAUGCGGCUGAUGAUACUUUGAGUUAUUCCAAGGAAGAUGACCUCCACGAGUUAUCCGAUGAUGUUGAGCCUAGACUGCCAUGGUUUUCGUGAGAAAUUCACUUCUACUCGUUUACAAGGCUAUGCGACGAAUACAACUUAUGUUGGGAUCGAUAGUGACUUUGUUGAUUCUUCUUGGUAUCCGAUUGAUUCUUAUAUUACUUGUGACAAUUUUUCACCACAUCAUCAAGCUUUCCUUGCAGCGAUCAUAGCUGGUGUGA